rnacentral:lncRNA from 1 species
GGUUCGUCAGGAAGGUAGACAAUUACCACAUAAUAAGCAAGCAAGGCCUCAUCCUCGGGUAGCAUUCAUCGGUGGUAGGGUGGCGUCCCUGAAAUAAUAACUCUUUAAUAGGCACCGCCUUGUCGAAGAAAGAUAUCUAUUGAUUGUUAUGACCACGAAGAAACGACGAAUCCCAUCUACGGAUAUAUAAGAGCCAAACAGCGUUCGCCAGUUGAAG